CAAACCGGGAGAUAGCUGGUUCUCCUCGAAAUCUAUUUAGGUAGAGCGUCUCGUGAAUACCCAUGGGGGUAGAGCACUGGAUGGGCUAGGGGGUCCCAACGACUUACCAAACCUAACCAAACUCCGAAUACCAUGGAGUACUGCGAGGCAGACACACUGCGGGUGCUAAGGUCCGUAGUGAAGAGGGAAACAGCCCUGACCGCCAGCUAAGGUCCCUAAGUUAUCACUAAGUGGGAAACGAUGUGGGAGUGCUUAGACAACCAGGAGGUUGGCUUAGAAGCAGCCACCCUUUAAAGAAAGCGUAAUAGCUCACUAGUCGAGUCGGCCUGCGCGGAAGAUAUAACGGGGCUAAACUGAUAACCGAAGCUGUGGAUGCGCAUUUAUGCGCAUGGUAGAGGAGCGUUCUGUAAGCCGUUGAAGGUGAAUCGUAAGGUUUGCUGGAGGUAUCAGAAGUGCGAAUGCUGACAUGAGUAACGAUAAGGGGGGUGAAAAACCCCCCCGCCGAAAGAUCAAGGUUUCCUGUCCAACGUUAAUCGGGACAGGGUGAGUCGGCACCUAAGGCGAGGGCGAAGGCCGUAGUCGAUGGAAAAUCGGUUAAAAUUCCGAUACCGAUUCUUACUGCGAUGGAGGGACGGAGCAGGCUAGGCUAGCACGGCGUUGGUAGUCCGUGUUUAAGCGUGUAGGUAGGGGGAUUAGGUAAAUCCGGUUCCUCGUUAAUCUGAGACGUGAUGACGAUCUCUUGGGGCAACCCUUGAGAGAAGUAGUUGAUGCCAUACUUCCAGGAAAAUCUUCUAAGCUUCAGGUAAGAAUUGACCGUACUGUAAACCGACACAGGUGAUCAGGUAGAGAAUACCAAGGCGCUUGAGAGAACUUGGGUGAAGGAACUAGGCAAAAUGGCACCGUAACUUCGGGAGAAGGUGCGCCGGUGACGGUGAUGGACCUUGCGUCCUAAGCUGUUGCCGGUCGAAGUAACCAGGCCGCUGCGACUGUUUAUUAAAAACACAGCACUCUGCAAACUCGUAA
rnacentral:rRNA from 1 species